CUUCUCAGAACAUCCACAUAAACCCUGAAAUUGUUCAGUAUUCUCUCAAACAGCCGUUUGAGUCACCUCAAAUGUAGCAGUGGGCCAGAUUGAAACGGUCCGAUGCACUUCACUUGCAAUGCAGAUCAUCAUUUCUGGACAGCUUUCUACUUACUGCUGUGGACAUGAAAGGAUCGUCCUAGGCUUGCCCAUGCUGAUGGGCUGCACCACAGCAGUACUGGAGCUGAAUUCCUGUUAGAAAACAUCUUCAGGAUGCUUUGACCAGGACACCUCCAAUGUGAAGCAGUGGACAGCUGAAGAUGUUGCUGGCUGUUAU